CUAUUCUCUUGGUGUUGAGCUCUAAGGCGACCGAAUUACCAUGACUGGGCCACCGUGAUCCUCGCCGGCACACGCCACAACUUCGCAGGUCACGCGGGGCUAGCCGGCGUCCGGUUUUUCGUCACAUGUGAUCCGUCUAAUGUGCGCUAGAUCUUCACGUCCAACUUCCUCAACUACCCCAAGGGCGAGGAAUUUGCGGAGAUCUUCGACGUCCUGGGCCACGGUAUCUUCAACGCCGACGGCGAGUCUUGGCGGCGGCAGUGUGCCAAGUCCCAGCUCCUGAUGGCCGGCCCCCGUUUCCGCUCUUUCUCGGCACGGUGCAGCCGUGACAAGGUGGAGAAGAGCCUCCUUCCAUUCCUGGCGCACGCUGCUGACGCCGGCGCCCGCUGUGACCUACACGACGUGUUCCUAAGGCUGACCUUUGACCUGACCUGCAACCUCGUCUUCGGGGUCGAUCCCUGCUGCCUGCAGAUCGGCCUCCCCGCUGUGCCCUUCGCUCACGCCAUGGACGACGUGCUGGAGACAGUCAUCCUCCCACCGGCGUGCUGGAGGCUCAUGUACCGGUAUGAGGUCGGCCCAGAGAAGAAGAUGGCCGUGGCUCGUAGUACCAUCGACCGAUUCACCGUAGACAUGAUCGCCAAACGCAGAUCCGAUCUCAAGCUCCACGUCGAGGACAUCCGCGAAUCCCCCGACAUGCUAUCCUUUAUAUGCGACGGUGACGCAAGCGACGAGUUCUUGCGUGACACUGCAGUGAACCUCCUGCUCGCAGGCCGGGACACCACCAGCACGGCGCUGUCGUGGUUCUUCUACCUCCUAUGCAAGAACCCGCGCGUGGAGCUGAGUAUCCGGGAUGAGCUGGCGCCGAUCGCAGCCACAAAGAUGGUGGCCGCGGCCAACGACAUGGUGGUGUUCGACAUGACCGAGCUGAGCAACAUGGUGUACCUGCACGCGGCGCUGUGUGAGUGCCUGAGGCUUUACCCGCCCGUGCCCUUCCAGCACAAGGUGGCAACGCACAGUGACGUGCUCCCAAGCGGCCACCAGAUGAAGGCCGGCGACAAGAUACUCGUCUACUCCUACUCCAUGGGGAGGAUGGAUGGCGUGGGGGGCAAGGACUGCAUGGAGUUCAGGCCGGAGAGGUGGAUCGCCGAUGACGGAAAGCUGAGGUACGAGCCGUCUUACAAGUUCGUCGCCUUUAACGCAGAUCCCAGGACCUGUCUCGGCAGGGAAGUGGCCUUCACGCAGAUGAAGGUCGUCGUCGCCGCCAGGCUGAGGCCGUGCCGGGGCACGUCGUCGAACCAAAGCUGUCCAUCAUACUCCACAUGA
rnacentral:rRNA from 1 species